CACGUAGGCGGACUCUUAAGUCGGUGGUGAAAUCCUGGAGCUCAACUCCAGAACUGCCUUCGAUACUGGGAGUCUCGAGUUCGGGAGAGGUGAGUGGAACUGCGAGUGUAGAGGUGAAAUUCGUAGAUAUUCGCAAGAACACCAGUGGCGAAGGCGGCUCACUGGCCCGAUACUGACGCUGAGGUGCGAAGGCGUGGGGAGCAAACA
rnacentral:rRNA from 1 species